UGGGGCGAACGAUGGGGCUCGAACCCACGACAUCCAGGACCACAACCUGGCGCUCUACCAGCUGAGCUACGUCCGC
rnacentral:tRNA from 1 species